rnacentral:tRNA from 1 species
UCCUUGGUGGCUCAGACGGUAAAGCGUCUGCCUGCAAUGCGGGAGACCUGGGUUCCAUUCCUGGGUCGGGAA